GGCUCCGGCGCGGACCCCGAGGCGGCGCCGGCCUCCGCCGCCGCGGCCCCGGGCCCGGCGCCCCCGGGCGCGGCGCCCGCCGCGCUGCCCGCCCGCACCGCCGCAGAGAACAAGGCCAGCCCCGCGGGGACAGCAGGGGGGCCUGGGGCUGGAGCAGCUGCUGGGGGCACGGGACCCUUGGCGGCGCGGGCCGGGGAGCCAGCUGAGCGGCGUGGGGCGGCUCCGGUGUCGGCGGGUGGCGCGGCGCCCCCGGAGGGGGCCAUAUCUAACGGGGUUUACGUACUGCCGAGCGCGGCCAACGGAGACGUGAAGCCCGUGGUGUCCAGCACGCCUUUGGUGGACUUCUUGAUGCAGCUGGAAGAUUACACGCCUACGGUGGGCUUCCGCCCGAACAAGGCCACCUAGCCUGCUGUCAAAACUUUAAGCCGCAUCGUGCUUUUCAGCGUCCUCUUACAUUUGCUCCCCUAGUCGCUCUUCUGUUUUUGCCCUCUGCUCACCCAAACUGAGCGUCCUGAUAACCAGGCCUAUCCAUUUCCCUCACCCUCCUCCUGCUCUGCUGACAGUUCUCUUAAUUGAUUUCUCAGAUCCCAGAUGCAGUGACUGGUUACUACCUGAACCGUGCUGGCUUUGAGGCCU
rnacentral:sRNA from 1 species